GAUGAAGAACGCAGCGAAAUGCGAUAAGUAAUGUGAAUUGCAGAAUUCAGUGAAUCAUCGAAUCUUUGAACGCAUCUUGCGCUCCUUGGUAUUCCGAGGAGCAUGCCUGUUUGAGUGUCAUUUAACUUCUCAACCACAUUGGAUAUUUUUUUUCCGAUGCCGGCUUGGAUGUGGGGGUUGUUUGCAGGCUUUUUGUAACAAAAAAGGUCGGCUCCCCUGAAAUGUAUUAGUGGUAUCUGAGGCUAUUACUAUUAGGUGUGAUAAUUAUCUAUGCCUUUUGGGUAUGCCGCAUGAACAGAUUAUGCUGCUUCUAACGAAAACUAUUUUGAUGAAUUUGACCUCAAAUCAGGUAGGAAUACCCGCUGAACUUAAGCAUAUCAAUAAGCGGAGGA
rnacentral:misc_RNA from 1 species